rnacentral:rRNA from 1 species
UUAUCUCUGUAGAGUCUGCAUAUCAAUAAGCGGAGGAAAAGAAACUAACAAGGAUUCCCUUAGUAACGGCGAGUGAAGCGGGAAGAGCUCAAAUUUGAAAUCUUCAGGGUUUUACCUUGACGAAUUGUAGUUUAAAGAAGUGUUUUCUGUUAGAUGAGUUUAGUAAAAGUUCUUUGGAAUAGGGACAUCAUAGAGGGUGAGAAUCCCGUAUUUGACCAUUAUUAUUCAGCUGUGUGAUACACUUUCAAAGAGUCGGAUUGUUUGGGAAUGCAGUCCAAAAUGGGUGGUAAAUUUCAUCUAAAGCUAAAUAUUGGCGAGAGACCGAUAGCGAACAAGUACCGUGAGGGAAAGAUGAAAAGAACUUUGAAAAGAGAGUUAAACAGUACGUGAAAUUGUCAAAAGGGAAGCGUUUGACACCAGUGUUGUUUUUCCGAAAAUCAAUUACGAAUGGCUUGAUUCUGUGUUGUAUUGACCUUAUCAGCUUUCUGCACUUUUUUCGAGUCUUUCUUAAUGCACUUUUCGGUUAACAAGUCAACAUCAAUUUCUUUUGUUGUAAAAGAGUAUUCGGAAGGUGGCUUUCUUUUCGGAGAAAGUGUUUAUAGCCCUAUACUUCUACAAUCGGAGAGAUUGAGGUCUGCAGCGUAGAUCCUUCGGGGUUAGAUACACUUGUGCUAAGUUGUAGCUUUUCAUAGACAACUUGUUGACUAUGUUUAGUCAUGCGGCUUACUCGCUUGUGCUAUUUUACCUACGCUUAGGAUGUUGAAGAUAUGCGCGACACG